rnacentral:rRNA from 1 species
CUUACACAUGCAAGUCGAACGGUAACAGGUCUUCGGGUGCUGACGAGUGGCGAACGGGUGAGUAAUACAUCGGAACGUGCCCGAGAGUGGGGGAUAACGAAGCGAAAGCUUUGCUAAUACCGCAUACGAUCUCAGGAUGAAAGCAGGGGACCGCAAGGCCUUGCGCUCACGGAGCGGCCGAUGGCAGAUUAGGUAGUUGGUGGGAUAAAAGCUUACCAAGCCGACGAUCUGUAGCUGGUCUGAGAGGACGACCAGCCACACUGGGACUGAGACACGGCCCAGACUCCUACGGGAGGCAGCAGUGGGGAAUUUUGGACAAUGGGCGCAAGCCUGAUCCAGCCAUGCCGCGUGCAGGAUGAAGGCCUUCGGGUUGUAAACUGCUUUUGUACGGAACGAAAAGACUCUGGUUAAUACCUGGGGUCCAUGACGGUACCGUAAGAAUAAGCACCGGCUAACUACGUGCCAGCAGCCGCGGUAAUACGUAGGGUGCGAGCGUUAAUCGGAAUUACUGGGCGUAAAGCGUGCGCAGGCGGUUAUGUAAGACAGAUGUGAAAUCCCCGGGCUCAACCUGGGAACUGCAUUUGUGACUGCAUAGCUAGAGUACGGCAGAGGGGGAUGGAAUUCCGCGUGUAGCAGUGAAAUGCGUAGA